rnacentral:rRNA from 1 species
GAGCACGUAGGUGGGUUUGUAAGUCAGGUGUGAAAGCCUUCUGUUCAAAGGAAGAACGGCAUCUGAAACUGCGAAUCUUGAGUGUAGGAGGGGAGAGUGGAACUUCUGGUGGAGCGGUGAAAUGCGUAGAUAUCAGAAGGAACGUCGGCGGCGAAAGCGACUCUCUGGCCUAUUACUGACACUGAGUGUGCGAAAGUUAGGGGAGCAAACGGGAUUAGAUACCCCGGUAGUCCUAACCGUAAACGAUGGGCACUAAGUAGAGGG